UCGAGGACCGCUGUGAGGACAGGCAGGGAUUUUGUUGUGCAGGUGCUCGUGUCAACCGUGGCUCUCUGCUUGCUGUUCUGAACAGGAGUGCCGAUGGAGACUGGCCUGCUCUGGGAUGUAUCCACUUGGAUUUUCUCUGUGGAGAACUCCAGAUGAAGAAAAGAAGAGAUUUUGAGCAAAUUGUAAGAAAAGUCGUGGCUACUGAAAUGCCUCAGAAGGAGGUGACACAUAGGAAAAACAGAUUCUCUAUCUCUCAGAUGACAUCUCAAUCUCACUGCUGUCACCACUUGGAAAGAAUUUUGAGUGAAAGAAGUAAAAUGCUUUUCUAGUAGAAAUCCCUUGUCUGAAGGUCACAGAAGCCUACAUAUGGAUUGGCUGCGGGAAUUCUGAUACCCUCCCAGAUAUUUUUAAAGAAUCCAGAAGAGUCCAGGAUUAAAGGGAAGAGCAAGGAUUCCCAUUCUCUUCCAAAGCAUCAAAGAGAAUAUAACCAGAAUUUUUUUUUGCUGGGAGAAGAUUGUCACUGAGCUAACAUCCAUUCUGGUUUUCUCUGAGGACCAUUGUAAAAAUUCAUUCUCUUGGGUAGCUGGUCUCAGGACAGGCCAUUAGGAGCUGCUGCCAGAGAGCACAAUCCUCCGCUAAGGUCGGUCCAAUUUUCUCUGUCCUCUCACUCCUUCCCUUCCCGCAUUUAUAUCUUGCCUCUUUCUCUCCCCUCUAGUUUUUGCUCUCUUUCUCCUUUCCUCUAUCAAAUAUUAGGUUCUCCAUAUAUGCGUGGUACUUGGCCCCAUACUUUCAUUGCUCUGCCCCAUUGUGUUCGAGUCACCCCCCUUCAAUUCUCCUUUGCCUUUUCCCAGCCUCAAGCACCCCAAGUCGCGAGGAAACAACCCGGUCUCCAGAGGCAUCUAUCUGAGCAUUUCCUGAGUCAUCAUCUCCCCUGUCGUAUCCAAAUGUUUCAGGGGCAUCUGGGGAGGCUUUCCAAAGUUACUAUGAUGUUGCUUGGGAAAUAUUAAGAUAUUAAUCCUGUAUCUCAUUUGAUGGUGACCAUUAUCAUUUGCAGUGGAGCUGCUCUUCACGUCUAUCUUCUUUUAGAAUCACUUAUAGCUGAAAAUGUCUUAAGGGCCCAAUGAGGCUGAAUGUAAAAUACAUAAUAUCUUCUAGAUAAAAAGACAAUGGGGAAGAUCCGUCUCUUAGGAAACCAGCUUGCUACCUCCAGGGACAGUACCCAGGAAGAAGGUAGUCUACUCUAUUUCUCUCUUUCAUUUUUUAAACUUUAAUGUAAUGAAAACCACACCAUUUAGAAAUGAUUCUAAUUCCAGUUUCAAGUCCCAUUCUUUUCUCCAGUCAUGCACGUAUUUAGACUUUUUAUUCCUUCAUUAACACAGGGAAAAUGCAAACCAUUACGACAGUUAGCAGAUAUAAUUUUAGACAAAUACAACUUCUUAUCAAAUAAGCCUGCAAUAAGUAUUUGAUGAACAGGGCUCUUCAAUAUAAUUUCCAACACUAAUUUAAUGAGAAGUAUCAAAUGAAUUUUUUUUAUUCUGAUAUCUCCCAUGAGACAAAUGAUACUUUGCAGACCUAUUUUUAACAAAUGAAUUAUUGACUUAAACUGGCACAAUUAAUCACAAUAUAAUGGGAUCAGGGGAUGUUAGGGGCUCAUUCAUCAUAGCUGAUGAUGAGUACCGACUCUUCCGAGAAAUGAAACUCUUUAAUCACUCCUAGAUUAACAGUUACAUGCUUUCAAAUUUCAAUCAUAGGAAACUGGCAGCAUAGAAUGAAAAGGAGCCAGUGCUGGAGGAGAAAAUGAAAGGGAGGCGUGCAGAGUUAGUUGUCUGGAGUCAGAAAUCCAGCUCUGGCCAGUACUCCUCAGUGGAGACAGAAAAAUGAUUCAUUAGAAAGGCAGUGUUGGUAAUGGGCUGAGAACCGGGAUGGCAAUUAAAAUUCUUGAGAUCUGGGUUUAACUCUUCCAUUGAAAGUCUGUGUGACUCCUGAUAAACUGCCUGACUUCUCUGAACUUCAUCUUCUUCAUCAGCAGGAUAAAUAUAGUACAAAUUUCCAAGUAAAAUUCACAUGAAGAUCAAUUGAAAUAACUACAUUCUCAUGUUUUGGACAAUUUGAAAGCAGAGUUCCUUUCAUGUGAUCCUUAAAAUUGCUUUCAGGACUGUUUGUUUUCCAUCCUCAGGGCCCAUGCCCAUGCCUAUUAAAUGCUUUUGACUAAUUAAAGAAAGAUAUGCAAGAAAAUGUGAAAGCCAAAUAAGGAACUCAGGAGAAGACAGAUCCACUCAUUCAGCUUCUAUGUGAAGCCCUCCUGUUAUUGAAAGAUGAGUCAGAUGUGACUCCUGUUCUCCAGGAGUUCACAAGAACGUUGGGCAGACAGCAAGAGAGUCACAUCGUCUGGACACAAGCAAAAGUGAAAAAGCAAUAAGAUUUUAUUUUGUUUUUUUCAAUCAAAGACAUGCACAUGGUUAGAAAAAAUCAAAUGGUCCGGAGGCUGCUCCCUUCCCUCACUGGGGACUGUGCUCCCAGUUUGCCCAUUUUGGUCCAGGUUUAUGCCUGUUUUCCCAGCAUAAAUAUUAAUAACACCUGCUUUUACUCUCAAAAGUGUCUAGGUUUGGAUAAUACAUUUUU